UGGGGAAUAUUGCACAAUGGGCGCAAGCCUGAUGCAGCCAUGCCGCGUGUAUGAAGAAGGCCUUCGGGUUGUAAAGUACUUUCAGCGGGGAGGAAGGGAGUAAAGUUAAUACCUUUGCUCAUUGACGUUACCCGCAGAAGAAGCACCGGCUAACUCCGUGCCAGCAGCCGCGGUAAUACGGAGGGUGCAAGCGUUAAUCGGAGUUACUGGGCGUAAAGCGCACGCAGGCGGUUUGUUAAGUCAGAUGUGAAAUCCCCGGGCUCAACCUGGGAACUGCAUCGGAUACUGGCAAGCUUGAGUCUCGUAGAGGGGGGUAGAAUUCCAGGUGUAGCGGUGAAAUGCGUAGAGAUCUGGAGGAAUACCGGUGGCGAAGGCGGCCCCCUGGACGAAGACUGACGCUCAGGUGCGAAAGCGUGGGGAGCAAACAGG
rnacentral:rRNA from 1 species